rnacentral:rRNA from 1 species
GUGCCAGCCGCCGCGGUAAUACCGGCAGCCCGAGUGAUGACCGAUCUUAUUGGGCCUAAAGCGUCCGUAGCUGGCCGAACAAGUCCGUCGGGAAAUCCGCCCGCUCAACGGGCGGCCGUCCGGCGGAACCUGUGUGGCUUGGGACCGGGAGGCCUGAGGGGUACGAUCGGGGUAGGAGUGAAAUCCUGUAAUCCCGCUCGGACCGCCGAUGGGGAAACCACCCCAGGAGAACGGAUCCGAUAGUGAGGGACGAAAGCCAGGGUCUCCAACCGGAUUAGAAACCCUUGUAGUCC